rnacentral:rRNA from 1 species
GACGAACGCUGGCGGCGUGCCUAAUACAUGCAAGUCGAACGCUUCUUUCCUCCCGAGUGCUUGCACUCAAUUGGAAAGAGGAGUGGCGGACGGGUGAGUAACACGUCGGUAACCUACCCAUCAGAGGGGGAUAACACUUGGAAACAGGUGCUAAUACCGCAUAACAGUUUAUGCCGCAUGGCAUAAGAGUGAAAGGCGCUUUCGGGUGUCGCUGAUGGUUGGACCCGCGGUGCAUUAGCUAGUUGGUGAGGUAACGGCUCACCAAGGCCACGAUGCAUAGCCGACCUGAGAGGGUGAUCGGCCACACUGGAACUGAGACACGGCCCAGACUCCUACGGGAGGCAGCAGUAGGGAAUCUUCGGCAAUGGACGAAAGUCUGACCGAGCAACGCCGCGUGAGUGAAGAAGGUCUUCGGAUCGUAAAACUCUGUUGUUAGGGAAGAACAAGGACGUUAGUAACUGAACGUCUCCUGACGGUAUCUAACCAGAAAGCCACGGCUAACUACGUG